AUGAACGCUAGCUACAGGCUUAACACAUGCAAGUCGAGGGGCAUCAGGAAGAAAGCUUGCUUUCUUUGCUGGCGACCGGCGCACGGGUGAGUAACACGUAUCCAACCUGCCCUUUACUCGGGGAUAGCCUUUCGAAAGAAAGAUUAAUACCCGAUGGCAUAAUGAUUCCGCAUGGUUUCAUUAUUAAAGGAUUCCGGUAAAGGAUGGGGAUGCGUUCCAUUAGGUUGUUGGUGAGGUAACGGCUCACCAAGCCUUCGAUGGAUAGGGGUUCUGAGAGGAAGGUCCCCCACAUUGGAACUGAGACACGGUCCAAACUCCUACGGGAGGCAGCAGUGAGGAAUAUUGGUCAAUGGGCGCUAGCCUGAACCAGCCAAGUAGCGUGAAGGAUGAAGGCUCUAUGGGUCGUAAACUUCUUUUAUAUAAGAAUAAAGUGCAGUAUGUAUACUGUUUUGUAUGUAUUAUAUGAAUAAGGAUCGGCUAACUCCGUGCCAGCAGCCGCGGUAAUACGGAGGAUCCGAGCGUUAUCCGGAUUUAUUGGGUUUAAAGGGAGCGUAGGUGGACUGGUAAGUCAGUUGUGAAAGUUUGCGGCUCAACCGUAAAAUUGCAGUUGAUACUGUCAGUCUUGAGUACAGUAGAGGUGGGCGGAAUUCGUGGUGUAGCGGUGAAAUGCUUAGAUAUCACGAAGAACUCCGAUUGCGAAGGUAGCUCACUGGACUGCAACUGACACUGAUGCUCGAAAGUGUGGGUAUCAAACAGGAUUAGAUACCCUGGUAGUCCACACAGUAAACGAUGAAUACUCGCUGUUUGCGAUAUACAGUAAGCGGCCAAGCGAAAGCAUUAAGUAUUCCACCUGGGGAGUACGCCGGCAACGGUGAAACUCAAAGGAAUUGACGGGGGCCCGCACAAGCGGAGGAACAUGUGGUUUAAUUCGAUGAUACGCGAGGAACCUUACCCGGGCUUAAAUUGCAGUGGAAUGAUGUGGAAACAUGUCAGUGAGCAAUCACCGCUGUGAAGGUGCUGCAUGGUUGUCGUCAGCUCGUGCCGUGAGGUGUCGGCUUAAGUGCCAUAACGAGCGCAACCCUUAUCUUUAGUUACUAACAGGUCAUGCUGAGGACUCUAGAGAGACUGCCGUCGUAAGAUGUGAGGAAGGUGGGGAUGACGUCAAAUCAGCACGGCCCUUACGUCCGGGGCUACACACGUGUUACAAUGGGGGGUACAGAAGGCAGCUAGCGGGUGACCGUAUGCUAAUCCCAAAAUCCUCUCUCAGUUCGGAUCGAAGUCUGCAACCCGACUUCGUGAAGCUGGAUUCGCUAGUAAUCGCGCAUCAGCCACGGCGCGGUGAAUACGUUCCCGGGCCUUGUACACACCGCCCGUCAAGCCAUGGGAGCCGGGGGUACCUGAAGUACGUAACCGCAAGGAUCGUCCUAGGGUAAAACUGGUGACUGGGGCU
rnacentral:rRNA from 1 species